UACGUAGGGUGCAAGCGUUGUCCGGAAUUAUUGGGCGUAAAGAGCUCGUAGGCGGUCUGUCGCGUCGGAUGUGAAAAUCCAGGGCUCAACCCUGGACCUGCAUUCGAUACGGGCAGACUAGAGUUCGGUAGGGGAGACUGGAAUUCCUGGUGUAGCGGUGAAAUGCGCAGAUAUCAGGAGGAACACCGGUGGCGAAGGCGGCGUUCGUGGACUGCUACUGACACUGAUGAACGAAAGCCAGGGGAGCAAACGGG
rnacentral:rRNA from 1 species